UACGAAUGUGGCAAGCGUUGUUCGGAAUCACUGGGCGUAAAGAAUGCGUAGGCGGCUAGACAAGUCAGGAGUGAAAUCCCAGGGCUCAACCCUGGAACUGCUUUUGAAACUGUCUUGCUAGAGUCCCGGAGGGGUUGGCGGAAUUCCGAGUGUAGAGGUGAAAUUCGCAGAUAUUCGGAGGAACACCAGUGGCGUAGGCGGCCAACUGGACGGGAACUGACGCUGAGGCAUGAAAGUGUGGGGAGCAAACAGG
rnacentral:rRNA from 1 species